rnacentral:rRNA from 1 species
CUCAGGAUGAACGCUCGCGGCGUGCCUAAGGUAUGCAAGUCGAUCGUGAGCCCCGCGCAAGCGGGGUCGAACGAGGCGAACGGGUGAGUAACGCGUGGGAAUCUGCCCCUGUCACGGGGAUAACCCUGCGAAAGCGGGGAUAAUACCCGAUGGUCCCGCAAGGGUAAAGCUCCGGCGGACAGGGAGGAGCCCGCGUCCUAUCAGCUUGUUGGUAGGGUAACGGCCUACCAAGGCGAUGACGGGUAGGGGGCGUGAGAGCGUGACCCCCCACAAUGGCACUGAGACAAGGGCCAUACACCUACGGGUGGCAGCAAUUAGGAAUCUUGCGCAAUGGGCGAAAGCCUGACGCAGCGACGUCGCGUGGAGGAUGAAGGUCGUGAGAUUGUAAACUCCUUAAUUCCCCGCAAGGGGGAGGAUAAAGUCCCGGCUAACUACGUGCCAGCAGCAGCGGUAAAACGUAGGGGGCGAGCGUUAUCCGGAUUUAUUGGGCGUAAAGANGUGCAGGCGGCCAGGCAAGUUCUCCGUCAAAGCCCGGGGCUCAACCCCGGAACUGCGGAGAAUACUGCCUGGCUAGAGGAAGGUAGGGGCUGUCGGAACUCGGGGAGGAGGGGUGAAAUCCUAUGAUCCCCCAAGGAACACCGAAGGCGAAGGCAGGCAGCUGGGCCUUUCCUGACGCUGAGGCACGAAAGCUAGGGGAGCAAAACGGAUUAGAUACCCGUGUAGUCCUAGCCGUAAACGAUCCUCGCUAGAUUUUGGGCAUUGCUCAGAGUCGAAGCUAACGCAUUAAGCGAGGCGCCUGGGGAGUACGGCCGCAAGGCUAAAACUCAAAGGAAUUGACGGGGACCCGCACAAGCGGUGGAGCGUGUGGUUUAAUUCGAUGAUAACCGAAGAACCUUACCAGGGCUUGACAUGUAGGUGGUAGUGAACCGAAAGGGGAACGACCCGCAAGGGAGCCUGCACAGGUGUUGCAUGGCUGUCGUCAGCUCGUGCCGUGAGGUGUAUGCUUAAGUGCCGAAACGAGCGCAACCCCCACCCUAUGUUAGAGAUGUCAUAGGGAACUGCCUCCGUAAGGGGGAGGAAGGUGGGGACGACGUCAAGUCAGUAUGGCCCUUAUGCCCUGGGCCACACACACGCUACAAUGGCGGCUAUAACGGGUUGCAAGGCGGUAACGCGGAGCUAAUCCUUAAAAGCCGUCCCNGUUCNGGAUUGCGGGCUGCAACUCGCCCGCAUGAAGUUGGAAUCGCUAGUAAUGGCCGGUCAGCUAUACGGCCGUGAAUACGUUCUCGGGUCUUGUACACACCGCCCGUCAACUGGGGAAAGUUGGGGCCAUCCGAAGCCCGACGUAAGUCGGACCAAGAUGGAAUCAGCGAUCAACAGU